rnacentral:rRNA from 1 species
AUAUCACUAAGCGGAGGAAAAGAAACUAACUAGGAUGCCUUAGUAACGGCGAGUGAAGAGGCCAAAGCCCAAGAUGGUAAUCUCCGUGCAUCGCGCGGCGAAUUGUAAUCUAGAGAGGCGAAGCUCAAGAGGAGGUGGCACAGAAGUACCCUGGAACGGGUCGCCAAAGAGGGUGACAGCCCCGUACGUGGUGCCGCCGCCUAACGAGCUAGUCUUCAAAGAGUCGGGUUGUUUUGUAUUGCAGCCCUAAGCGGGAGAUAAACUUCUUCUAAGGCUAAAUAUAUGUGGGAGACCGAUAGCGCACAAGUA